rnacentral:rRNA from 1 species
AUUAAACUGAAGAGUUUGAUCCUGGCUCAGAUUGAACGCUGGCGGUAUGCUUAACACAUGCAAGUCGAACGGCAGCAGAAGGUAGUUUACUACUGAGAUGGCGAGUGGCGGACGGGUGAGUAACGCGUAGGAAUAUGCCUUAUAGAGGGGGAUAACUUGGGGAAACUCAAGCUAAUACCGCAUAGACUUGCUUAGGUAAGGAAAGCUGGGGACUGUAAGAGGCCUGGCGCUAUAAGAUUAGCCUGCGUCCGAUUAGCUAGUUGGUGGGGUAAGGGCUUACCAAGGCGACGAUCGGUAGCUGGUCUGAGAGGAUGACCAGCCACACUGGAACUGAGACACGGUCCAGACUCCUACGGGAGGCAGCAGUGGGGAAUAUUGGACAAUGGGGGAAACCCUGAUCCAGCGACGCCGCGUGGGUGAUGAAGGCUUUCGGGUCGUAAAGCCCUGUCGGGAGGAAAGAACGCUCCCAUGGCGAAUACCCAUGGGAGGUGACGGUACCUCCAAAGGAAGCACCGGCCAACUCCGUGCCAGCAGCCGCGGUAAGACGGAGGGUGCAAGCGUUGCUCGGAAUUACUGGGCGUAAAGGGUGCGUAGGCGGUCUCUCAAGUCUGGCGUGAAAGCCCAGGGCUCACCCCUGGAAGUGCGUUAGAAACUGAGAGACUUGAGUACCGGAGGGGAGAGUGGAAUUCCCGGUGUAGCGGUGAAAUGCGUAGAUAUCGGGAGGAAUACCGGUGGCGAAGGCGACUCUCUGGACGAUUACUGGCGCUGAGGCACGAAAGCGUGGGGAGCAAA